rnacentral:rRNA from 1 species
GACGAACGCUGGCGGCGUGCUUAACACAUGCAAGUCGAACGGCGUGGCGAACGGGUGAGUAUUACGUGAGUAACCCGCCCUCAACUGUGGGAUAAGCCUGGGAAAAUGGGUCUAAUACUGCAUAGUUGGGGAUGGGCUCGCGGCCUAUCAGCGUGUUGGUGGGGUGAUGGCCUACCAAGGCGACGAUCCCUAGCUGGCCUGAGAGGAUGACCAGCCACACUGGACCGGAGAACCGCUCCAGACUCCUACGGGAGGCAGCAGUGGGGAAUAUUGCACAAUGGGCGGUAGCCUGAUGCAGCCAUGCCGGGUGUAUGAAGAAGGCCUUCGGGUUGUAAAGUACUUUCAGCGAGGGGACGUUACUCGCAGAAGAAGCACCGGCUAACUCCGUGCCAGCAGCCGCGGUAAUAC